UACGGGGGGGGCGAGCGUUGUUCGGAAUCACUGGGCGUAAAGGGCGCGUAGGCGGCCCGCACAAGUCUGCGGUGAAAACCCCCGGCUUAACCGGGGGCCGGCCGUGGAAACUGUUGGGCUGGAGGCUGGGAGAGGGCAGCGGAAUUCCCGGUGUAGCGGUGAAUGCGUAGAGAUCGGGAGGAACACCGGCGGCGAAGGCGGGUUGCUGGGCUGACACUGACGCUGAAGCGCGAAAGCUAGGGGAGCGAACGGG
rnacentral:rRNA from 1 species